AACAAUAAUGGUUCCAAAAUUGGAGGGAGUUCUCGGCUUACCAGGGGCGCCGGCAACUGCAACACUGGUGGUAUUUGGUCCGCCCGUAAACACUUGAAGGUACACAGUAAUAUUUGUUUCCUUUCCACGGCAGCAAUAGUAAGGGUCAAGACGAUUAGCUUCUGAACAAACAAAGAUUGCUAGUAAUAGCACAAGGGAAAUUUGGAUGGAUGCUAAAGCUGAACCUUUUGCCAUUUUGUAUGUUGAAAGGCUAGCUGAAAAACAAAGAAGGAAGAAACAAAAUAGUUAGAUGGUAAAGAUAAUUUGUUCAAUGACCGUAUUUAUAGGAUAGAGGAGGUAGCAGUUGCAAAUGGUUAAAGUAGAACAAUUAAAUCAAUCUUGACUUUUGAUUUUUCUACAUAUAAAUGGUUUAAAUGAAAUAAUAUUACAUUUCAAAGAGUUAGGUAUAGCACAAAAAGUUUUAAAAGACAAUUAAACAUCAAUGGGUGGCCACCUAUCACGAUAGGUUUGUGUAAUGGUGUGCUGUACUCAGCAGAUAUAUCAUUCAAAGUUCAGAGCCAAGAAUUUCUUUUGAUAUAUAGUGGGAUAAUGGAGAACCUUGAAUACAUGAAACACAUUUCCCUAAAAAAAAAUGAAAUACAAUCGAUAAGGUUCUGGAAAAGGAUUAACUCCACUCUGCAUUUUCAAACUUGUACCACUUUAACAAGGUUCCAAACAUAUACUCAGUAGAUAAAUUAAUGUUGACUUUUGAUGUUUCUGCAUAUAAAUGGUUUAAAUGAAAUAGGAUUGCAUUUGCAAGAGUUAGGUAGAGCACAAAAACUUUUAAAAGAGAAUUAAACCUCAAUGGGUGGCCACCUAUCAUAGUAGGUUAGUGUAGAAUGGUGUGGUAUACACGGCAGAUAUAUCAUUCAAAAUUCAUAGUUAAGAAUUUCUUUUAAUGAUGGUUAUCUAGGAGGGUGCCAGCGGCCAAACGGGGCUCGGGGGGAGGAAGAAUUUUUUCCCCCAUUAGAAAACGGGGUAGCCGGAGAGGGAGUUUACACCCACCCCAUCCCCUGCCCCAUCACCCGUUGAGAAAAAUUAAAUAUAUAUGUAUAUAAUUAUAUAUGUGAUAUUUAAUUUAAUUAGUUACAAAUUUAUAAUAAUGAUAUUAUUAGUUAUAAGUAUUAUAUAAUUUAUAUUAGUAUUUGUAAUAUUAUUGAUAUUAUCAAAUGCUAAUAAUUAUACAUGUCUACUAAUAAAAAUUAUUAAUUAGUUGUAUCAAAUUUACUAAUACAUUUAUACUAAAUUCCUAAUUACACUUAACACAAUAACACUUCUUUUCUCAAAAAAUCACACAACAAUGAUUUAGUGGUUGUAUUUGUAUCCAAAGUGAAAACUUGAUUACUUUAGUUGUGUUUGUUUCAUCAUAUUGGGAUGUAUUUAAAUAACUCUUGUUUGAUUGUUUUUAUGACACACAAUUGUGAAAUUACAAUGAAUAAUGAUUUGGUGAUGUGUUGGCAUUUAAGUAUUUGAUCCUUUGUUCAAAUAUGACUACAAUGAAAUUGUAUGACAAAUUUUUAUUCGCCCUGUGGGUGCGCCCAUAGGGGAAGCGGGGCAAGGCGGGGACGGGGUUGGGGAGGAGUCCCCUGUCUAACCCCCACCCCAUUGCCAUUCCUAAUUUCUUUUGCUAUAUAGUGUAAUAAUGGAAACCUUGAAAACUUGAAACACAUUUACCAAAAAAAAAAAAUGAAAUACAUUUAACAGGGCUCCGAAAAAUGACUAACUCCAUUUUGCACCUUCGAAUUUGUACCGGUUUAACAAUGUUCCAAACUUAUACUCAGGAGAUAAAUCAAACUUGACUGUUGAUUUUUCUGCAUAUGAAUGGUUUAAAUGAAAUAAGAUUACAUUUCAAAGAGUUUGGUAGAGCAUAAAAAAGUUUUAAAAGAUCGUUAAACCUCAAUGGGUGGCCACCUAUCAAAGUAGGUUUGUGUAGAAUGGUGUGGUAUACAUAGCAGAUAUGUCAUUCAAAGUUCAGAGUCAAGAAUUUCUUUUGCUAAAUAUAUAGUGAGAUAAUGAAAAACCUUGAAAUCUUGAAACACUUUACCUAAAAAACAAAUUACAAAACAAUGAAACACAUUUCACAAGAUUCUGGAAAAGAAUUAACUCCGCUUUGCACCUUCGAACUUCUACCACCUUAAUAAGGUUCCGAACUUACAUUGAGUAGCUAAAUCAAUCUUGACUUUUGAUUUUUCUGCAUAUAAAUGGUUGAAAUGAAAUAUGAUUACAUUUCUAAGAGUUAGGUAGAGCGUAAAAAGUUUAAAGAGAGAGUUCAAUAUAAAUGGGUAGCCACCUAUGAAAAUUGGUUUGUAUACAGUGGUAUACUCAGCAGAUGUAUCAUUCAAAGUUGAUAGUCAAGAAUUUCUUCUGUUGUAUUGUGGGAUAAUGGAAAACCUUAAAAACUUGAAACAAAAUUACCUGAAAAAAAAAAAACAAGGCAACACAUUUAAUAAGGUUCUAGAAAAGGAUUAACUUGACUUUGCAUCUUCGAACUUAUCCCACUUUUAAUUUCAUUUUGUACCCCAAAUUUUAAUUUUGAACACUUUGCACCCUAAGCUUUAAUUUCACCUUUUAGUCUGAGGCCAUUCAUGUUUGCAAAUUGCAUAAGAGCCACUCAUUUUCUUGUUGGUUACGUGUUGUAAUAGGCUUUUAGCAUCCUCUCAUUAAAAAAUUAAUUUAAAAAAAUGUCCAAGUAUAGGUUUCAAUUUUGUAGUUGAAAUUGAAAAUGUUCACGAAUGUUUAGCUAUUUACACGCCAUAUAGGCUUCCAACCUCCUAACCCUAAAAUUUAGGGGGUUUGGGGGGAAGGGGAGGGUUGGAUGAAGAGCAGAGAUUGAAAUAAUAAAUCUUUUGUAGCGUUCAUUAAGACAUUGAUCGAAUAAGAGAAUGUCUGAAGAGAAAUUGGAAUGAAACAAAUAUCUUAAUUGCACUAGAGAAGUGCAAUUGAAUAUGGUUCUCGAGAAUGUAAUUUCCGUUGAUUUCUAUGUAGCAGAUUGUUGUAAAAUUUGUCUGAAGAGACAAUCGAAUACCCCCAAAACUCGCCGAAUUCCUAACAGUUCACAUAUCUUUUGGAGUCGAAUUACAAGUCCACGUAUGUUUCUCCACCCUUGUGAUCAUCCCCCAGAAUACACAAUUUGACAAGAAACUCAAUCUGACCGCAUUGAAACUGGACAAUUGGGAUGCAGGACUUGAAGAAUCUUUUUCUACAUAAAACAUCUUAUAUGAUGUUCUUUUAGCCAUUUCAGUUACCUCAUACCAACUACUCAAACAUGAAAGCAUUAGAAGGGACAGGAGAGCAAGUAUUAAAAGCCACAAUCAGUCAAUGCACAUCAUUUUCUUACAAAUUAGUAUAUUUAAAGAGCUAUUGGAAAAUGACACUAUCUAAGCACAAGAAAAACUGAUUAUGAUUUCAUCAAUAAUCACAGCUUUCAAUGGAGCUGUCAAAGAAGAAUUGCAACCUCUUAUUGAUGAAUUUAUUGAAAUAGGUAAACUACUAAAGAAAACGACUUUAAAUCUAGAGGAGAUAUGAUACCUUCAUAAAAGUUCAUCCUCCACUUUUGUGAAGACCAAUAAAUAGGGUAAAGUGAGCAAAAAAUUACAAUAAAACUGGCAAGGGGAAAAAGCGAGAGAACACCAAAACAUCAAAACGUACCUUCAAGACUGAAUGAAGAAAAGUAGCUUCCUUUUUCCUUUGCUCCUUCAUCUAACAAAAAUUUAGAAUAAAUAAAUGUCAACAAAAUCAAAUUUAUUGGGAAAAAGAAAAUAAAAAUGACAUUAGAUUAACUUUUUCUAGGGAAAAAGAAAUAGAGAGCCUAAACAAUCUCAUCUUCAAAAAAGAAUUUACAAAUCUUAAUAUCUCAACCUAUUACAAACAUUUGAAACUUAUUGGAGCAUAGAUAAUUAAUAUGUUAGAACAUCAAAUCUAGCAUAGGGGAUGCGAGACCACAAUAGGAAACAAAACAAUAGUAAUAAAGCCUGAGGAUUAGCAAGAAGAGAAGAAAUUGUGUUCCCCAAACAAUAACCAGCAUUCAGCACUAAACAUCUGAAUGCAUUUUCAAUUUUUCAAAUCCAGCUCAUACUAAUGCAAUACUUAUUCAAGCAAAAUAGAUUAGUUUGUAAUGCCAGCAGAUAACAAAGGACCUAAAAGUCAAAAUAUCAAAUUGUUAAACCUUGAAAACUUACAAAGUUACUUUUUGUUGUCCGCUUAUGUGGUGACUGCAUCUUUAUGUACCUUGAAUAUCAAGAACAUGACUGGCAAGUGUGAGAGAAUGAGUCCCAAGAAUAUGCCAAUCAGGUCAUAUUCUGCCACCACCUUCACUUCCAAUAUUACAUGCUCAACCUGAAAUUUUGCAGGAUUAAAGAAUUUAAAUCAUCUUCUCAAUCAGAAAUUACACAAAUUAACAGCAAAGUUUAAACAACAAAAAAGGUCAUAUUCUGCUAAAAUAUAAAUAUAAUGUGGCAUAUAAAGGAGAGGUAACAAUUUUAAGCAUUCAUUAGUCAACCUUUCUUAACUUCCUAGACAUUAGACAUUGACUAAAUAGUUGAUUGCACAAUAUAAACAACUACAAUAUGUAUCCAUAUGUAAAACAAUGUAAUAACUAUUAUUUGUGUCAGCAAAAUGACACCAUAAAUACAAAAACAAUCUAAAACAAAAUUAAGUCCAAAAGAAAAGUCAUGCAAAAAAGUCAAAACAAUUACAGCAAUUUUUUUGUCCCACUGUUAAUUCAACCAAGACUUGGUACAAGAUGAAAACAAUAUUUGGCAUCAAGGACACUACAAGAUGAAAAUGUAAAUUAUUAAGAUUAAAUGUAAAUGAUUAUGAACAUCCACUUGAUAAAAAAUGAGGAACUAAGAUACAAAGGACAUCUCGAUGUUUCAGGGAAAAUGAAGUUCUGCUUAAUAGAGCUUAGAGUCAUAAAGAUAUAAGCCGAAUCAUUGGAAACGCUAGCAUUACCAAAAGUUGUCCUUCCUUUUCGCCUAUCCUAAUAACUUAUCCCCAAUCCAGAUAGGCAGUUUGUGGAGUGUCAUUACUAGCACCAAUCCUUUUGAUCAUCUACUAAUGCAUUCUAAGUUUUUAGGAAUUGCACUAAUAAAGAUAUUACAUUAGUAACAAACAUAGUCAUCCAACGCACAGAAAACCAUAAUGCAUAAUACCUUCCAAUUAUGUGAAAUUUACCAUUUUGAAAUGGUUCUCAGAAAAACUCAAUAUUUUCACCUGCAAACCCAGAAAAAAGGAUAUUAUUCACAUAAAUAAAAAAAAAGGAAAAGUGCAGAAAAUUUCAAAUAGUGGAAGCCAAAGGCUGAGAAAUAUAUGCAUUGAAUUUGAGAAGGAGAAACACCUAGAUUUAACACUCCAACCAUCAAAAAAGUCAAUGAAUUUCAUCAUUCAUAUGGAAAGGAAUUCAGCUAUUACUCCAAAUAUCUUAAUUAGAUCGACAGCUUUUGCUGCACCAGAAUUCACUGUUAAGCCUCUAAUGUAAAAUUUAAUAGGGAUACUAUGAGUUAUAUCAGGUUUCACCUUUGUACUCUCCAACAAGUUUCUUUUAUUUAAGAAAAAAGACAAUUAAAUGCAUGUUAAAUCAUAGCAAAAUGAUCUGAUACUCAAAUAAAAAAAUAGAGAAAGGUGAACUGCAAAACAACGAUUUUUUCACUUUUAGCUAUGUAACAAAAAAUGUGAAAGGCAAAAAAAAAGUGUGCUUUCAACGUGAAUUUUGACAAUAUUAUCUAUCCCAGAUGUAAAUAGUCAAGUCCAUAAAUUGUUAAUUAGGCAUACAACAAAACAAACUAUUGAUAACUUUUAAUUCGAGCAUGUUACCUCAUGCAAUUCACAUUGAACUCAUCUAGAGUAAAGUUCAUUAAUCUUAGUGCCUCUAGAGAAUUGCCGUCACUAACUCUUUAAGCUUCAUAGUCGUCUAGCUCAAUCAAACUAAAAAAGAAUUAAGCUGAACAAAUUAGUCAAGUAAAAAAAAGGAUUAAAAGAACAAAACAGAAACCAUUUCUACAGGUAUAGAGAUACAAGAGAUUUUGAGCUACUAACUAAAAAGAAAAGGGAAAAACUAUAACAGUGUAGCAAUGUGAUACAUUUCCUAGUCAGGGGGUAUGCAAUUUAAAGUUGUUUAGAAACUGUUCAUCGUAAUAUUCCAUCCAUAUUUGAUUUUGGAGAUUUUCCUUGUAUUUUAUGUGCAUGCAGGUCAAUUUUACUUCUUCCACUUGUAGUUCAAAUUUCUUUGACAACAGUGCCAGCCGACCUUCAGAAUGGUACUUUUUCAAGUCAACAUAGACGUAUUACACCAGUGACAAAAACUUCUCAUACGGAAAUAUUGGUGGAGUUUUGAUCAAGAUAAGCAGAAUCAAAACAUCAAGGCACCACAGAUUGCCUAAAAAAAAAAAAAACCUGCUAUAGCCGGAUAAUGCUCAAAACAAGAAAUAGCAAAGUCACUAAGCACUAAAUUUGGAGUAAUUUACCUAACCCUAACAGUUAACGAAAAAAGUUCCCUACUUGCUCCUUUCUCUGGCAAAUACUUGAUCCAUUCUCUAACAAAAAAAAAAUGGGCAACAAAACUUGGUUAAAUAAAAUCAUAGAAUGUUUAUAGCACAACAACACUAUGGUUCAAGUGAUUUUUCCAUCAUCCCUUCAACCAUCAUAACUGUAGACACUCAAGAAUAAGAGACAAAAAAUAUUCCGAUGGAUCUGAGAGACUUUAGAGAUAGUUACAAAAAGAAAAAAAAAAAGGUCUUAUCAAAGAAAAAAACCUUGAGUAGAACAUACCUCCGAAGAAAAAGAAUAAAACCAAGUACAUCUGCAAGCCAUUUGUUCUUAUCUCAGAGAAAACAAAAAGAGGGAACAAAAAAAAAAAGGAAAUAAAAAGGUCAGAAAAAAUAAAAAUAAGACCGAGGCCUACAAAAUAACAAGAUAAUUAUGGGAAAAAAAUACAUGAAAUUGUUUGGCAUCACACAAGAGCAAAUAGACAAAGAAAAAAACCUGAUAUGAUGAGAUUCAUCUUCAGCCUCCAAGAGAAAUACGGGGGUGGGAAGUGGACAAAUAGUGAAAAAAUAUAGGGAAAAAAUAGCGAAGAGAGGUCUUGCAGAAGAGUAAAAUGAGAAGCUGGAGAUAUAUCUAAGGGGGAAGCGUAAAAUGGGAAAAAGAGGUCUUGUAGAAGUGGAAAAAAAAAAAAAUAGGAAAAAAUUUUAAUCCAAAUCUACAGAGGAAAAAUGAUCACCUCAGGAGUUUUCUUGCCUGUGGAAGAGGAAGAUGGCAGAGGAGAAGAAAAGGAGAGAGAAUGGCGGAAAAAGAGAAAAACGAAAAGCGAAGCAGAAGAAGAAGAAGAUGAAACGGAGAGAAAAAGAGAAGAAGAAUAGAUGAACAACUUGUGCCUUGUGGUCUCAAGCCCAUCACUCCGAAAAAAAAAAAUCAUGUGGCUUGGAAAAAAGAGAAGGAUAAAAGAAAUAGGAAAAACAAUAAAUGAAAGACAAAGAAAAUGGACGACAGCCUUUGCUUCACAAAGGUACAACCACACCCAAUUUUCAUCCACGCGGUCACGUGAUCUCCUCGUGUAGGACGACAACUUUUUAUCCAAUGCUGAAUUGACACAUCAGCAGCAACCACAAACCUGUUGCAAGUUUCCUAAGCACUUAGUCUACCUAAGGUUGAUUAACUAACUAUUUUGUGGCCAAACCAUUAUCCAUCUUGACCAUCUAAAUGGUGAAUUGCACUUUAAGCUUAAUGCUCAACAAAACAGAAGUUCUUAACCAUGUUAAGGAAAAAUAGAUGGAAAGGUCUUUUGUCACCUUUUGUUAGUUGUGGUAGUUAUAUAGCAGAAGGAUUACCAUUUGUUAAACUGAGUAAAAGAUUAUUUUUCAUAAAGCAAGUUCGAUGUACAUCAUAUGUAAAACAAAAGUUAUGAACAAUAAAGACUACCUUACAAUAAGACUUGGUGUACAAUUAUCAGUUCAAGCGAAUUCCACAAUUAGGUGAAGAUUUUAUCUAAGUUUCAAUACACAUCUUUAUUAGUAAACGCACAUAUCAUAUUUUAACACAUUCACGAACAUACGUAAUUGAAGAACACCAAUAGUGUAAUUCACAAGCUUACGUAAUGCGAAGCCAAGUGUAAUUGAAGAACACCAAUAGUGUUUUUAUUUAGAUGGACAUAUUGACGAAACAAGAAGUGCAUGAAGAAACGUCAUACAUUGAUUACCAAGUACACCUAAGACCACAAUAACGAUAAAAAUCUAUACUUUGUUUUCUUAUUUAUUAUUUUUCUUUUAUUAGUUAUUUUUUCCCAUCCUCCUUGAUGGAUUUCUUAGUAAGAUAGUCGAGUGAACAAGUAGGUCAUAAGAAACAUAAAUCACCAAGUACGUAUAUGGCCUGUAAUUGGCUUUUCUUAUUAUUAGUUUUUCCUUUAUUAUUCAAAAUUUCCCUCCUCCUGGGCAUGAGAUUACGGUAAUAUCGCCCCUUAUAACCGUAUUAUUCCGUGCCGGCCUUCGUAGAACUGUCUGAAAAAAUGCAUAUCCCCGAGCAAACCUAAACGUUUUGGUGCCACCAACUAUUGGAUCUUCUCUCGCCGGACUACCAACUUGUAAGUUAUAUCCUGCUCCUUGGAAUUCCAAUGUGCUACCGUUGUAUUUGAAGUUGGAGAAAAUGAGGGAAAAUAUGCCCAGUGAUCUUGAUCCAUCACGGGAUGAAGCUAUCUCAAUGCCUUGGGCCCGACCAAUAGUUGGAGAAUUGUUGCUGAUGCCUUGUGUUAUGUUAAAAUCAUUAACAAUAAUGGUUCCAAAAUUGGAGGGAGUUCUCGGCUUACCAGGGGCGCCGGCAACUGCAACACUGGUGGUAUUUGGUCCGCCCGUAAACACUUGAAGGUACACAGUAAUAUUUGUUUCCUUUCCACGGCAGCAAUAGUAAGGGUCAAGACGAUUAGCUUCUGAACAAACAAAGAUUGCUAGUAAUAGCACAAGGGAAAUUUGGAUGGAUGCUAAAGCUGAACCUUUUGCCAUUUUGUAUGUUGAAAGGCUAGCUGAAAAACAAAGAAGGAAGAAACAAAAUAGUUAGAUGGUAAAGAUAAUUUGUUCAAUGACCGUAUUUAUAGGAUGGAGGAGGUAGCAGUUGCAAAUG
rnacentral:lncRNA from 1 species